GAACGUCUUUCUUGUCUUUCGGGAGAAGGGAGGAGUGGCGGACGGGUGAGUAACACAUGGGUGACCUAGCCUGCAGUGAGGGAUACCGGCGAGAAAUCGCCGACAAGCCCGCAUGGGCUCUUUUCUGUCGGAGGGGGAGAGCAAAGCCCGCAAGGGUGCUGAAGGAUGGGCCUGUGGCCGAUUAGCUAGUUGGUGGGGUAAGAGCCUACCAAGGCGACGAUCGGUAGCUGGUCUGAGAGGACGAACAGCCACACUGGGAUUGAGAACGGCCCAGACUCCUACGGGGGGCAGCAGUGAGGAAUUUUCGGCAAUGGGGGCAACCCUGACCGAGCAACGCCGCGUGCAGGAGGACGCUUUUCGGAGUGUAAACUGCUUUUCUGUGGGACGAGAACGGACGGUACCACAGGAAGAAGCCCCGGCUAACUACGUGCCAGCAGCCGCGGUAAU
rnacentral:rRNA from 1 species